rnacentral:lncRNA from 1 species
GGGAAAUCCUCAGACACUCACACUUGAAAAGGACCCGUAUUACAGUGAGGUCCUGCACUGUGUGCUGUCCGGAUGCUCCUGAAAGUCAGGAUGACCAUGAAGGCACAUCUUCUGAUUUGAUUUACAACCCUGAGGCAGCCCCAACAGCACAGCUAAAAUCACUCCCAAAGAGAACUUCAGAACUACUUCAGAACAUGGC